GGUGGCUCAAUGGUAGAGCGCUUGCCUUGCAUGCAUGAGACCCUGGGUUCGAUUCCUCAGUACCA
rnacentral:tRNA from 1 species